UGUGUGUGGAGGUUAAAAAUCUUUCCUUUCAGCAUCUGGUCUUUUAAGUCUGAUUUGCUGUCUAAGUAACUGCACCGGAAAUUUCUAAUGGAGCCGCGCAGUGGGUGAGUCAGCCUGUAAUUGUUCUUUCUGUUUUUGUUUGCACUCUGAAGAGCAUGUGGACUUUCCGGCUUGUCACCCACUCUCUUUAAAUCUACCAGCCCUGCACUUUUCAGGGUUGCCACCUACACAGUUCUGAAGGCAUGCUCAGGGUGCCAAUCAAGUGUCACCAAAGCAGAGCAAAAAGCCUGCCUGAACCAUCAUGAGGAGUGUUGUGUUUAAGCCCGAAGCACGGCACUCCUCACUUGGCAUUAAUACUUAAAUCUAAGCUGAGGGUUUUUGUUCCAGAAGAGACAGCCUCUCUGCUGUUGGCAUGAGGUUAGUGCAGCGUUUGUAUGGGGGUGCAAAAUCAUAGCCAUAAACCGUGGAUGAAGCAGCAUAGGGGAAAGUUCUUAGCAUCAGCAGGUUGGUAAAGUAAGUCAGCAACUGAUAUUAGAGAGAGCUUACUGCAUCCUCAGAACUGCUCACUGAGAACUGAGUAGUUUGGGGGUGGGCAACUCAUGUUCAAGCCUUUGAGCACCGUGACCUUGGGCAAGUCAUUAUAUUUUCUCUGAGCCUCUCUUUUUGUAAAAUGUGAAUAUGCUGGAUUGAUUGCAAAAAUGUCCCCACUUUCCAUCCCUUCCUUGUAUCCUUUCCAUUGCAACUCUUCAGCUCCGUAAGAGGCAGAACCUAACUCCCCACCCCUCAAAAUGGAAUGCUUCAUGGCUCACUUUGUCUAACAGGAUGCAUAGUUCUGCCUGGCUUCCUGAGCCUGGUGCCCUUUGCCGGCUCUCACUCCUUGGUCCCUGCCUGCAAACAAGUCUGGGCUGGCCUGCUGGGAGAGGAGGCAAUGUGUGGAGGACAACAGAGGUGUCCCAGCUGACAGUGGGCCACAUUGCCAAAGCAUACCCUCUCGCUGACCCCUGGCUUCCCAGACAGGAGCAACAUGAGGGAACACAGCCCAAACCACAGUAACUGCCUGGCUGCUUUCAGCCGAAAUUGCUGAUCAGCUGAAUCACGAGCCAAAUAAGUGGCUGUUUGAAGCUAGCAAAUUUGGGGAUGCUCUUCUUUGCAACCUUAGCUGUUACAGGGGUGCUGACUCUCGCUGGGUCUCAGAAUGUGGCAGAGAGCAAAUGAGGCCAUGUGCGUCAGAAGCUUUGUGAAUCCUAAGUAGUACACAAAUAUAAGCUGUCCAUCAAUUGCAUAUGUUUCUAUCAGUAUUGAGACCAAGCGGAGGAUGCAAAUCAAUAUAAACAGCCCCUCACCUCCUCACCUCAAUACAUGCAGGAACUCACUUCUGUCUUCCUGUUAUCUCAUCCAUGUGUGAUUCUCUCCAGCUUCACAGGGUCAUCACCCGUGCACCCACCCCAUGUUUACUGGCCACCUGCAGCAUGCUGGGAACAGUUUUUGACACUGGGGAUGUUAAGGUAGGUGGGGUAGAGAGGCAAAUCCAUAAAUGAUUAAAACAGUGAAAAACAGCUGAUGCGAAAAGGCGAUGCAGAAGACAAGUGCUAUGGGCAGAAUGUUCGCUGCCCCCCUCCUCAUAUGCCAAAGCCCUACCUCUGGUGUGACUGCAUUUAGAGAUGAGCACACAGUGAGAAGGCGGCCGUCUGUGAGUCAGGAAGAGAGCCCUCGCUAGAACCAACCCCACCAGAACCUUGGUCUUAGACUCCAGCUCCAGCAUUUUGCUGUGGCAGCCCGAGUCAACUGAGACCGUCAGUGUAGGGAGAGGCAAAGGAGUCAUCGGGUGGCUUCUUUAGGGCAGGUGGUCAGGUGACUAUGAAGUAAGGAGCAAUGAAGGGAAGAAGCCAAAUAGAAUCCACCGGAAGAAUGUUCCAGAAAGAGGGACUGGCAGGACAAAGGCCCGGUGGCAAGCCCAGCUGGGGUGCACUCCGAAGGCCAGGGAAAGCGGUGGAUUUGAUUCUCCAGGUAACAGGAGCCCACAGGAGCACCUAAGGGAGGAGUGCCAGGGUGGAAUUUAUGUUAGGCCCUUCUGGCUGCUGAGUGGAGCCAGAGAGAAAGCCUAGGUGCCAUUUCGGAGGCUGCCACCUCCAUUGUCCUUGGGAGAGACAUAGUUGUGGUUUUAAGAUGGAGAAAAGCAGGUCAAUUUGGGAUAGGUUUGAAGGUGGCUGCAGCAGGUUCUGUUGAGGCAUAUUUAGGGAUGUAAGAGGAAGAGAGGAAUUGAGGCUGGCACCUGUUUUUGUGAUGUAUACCUAAGGCCAACAGAAUACAUGGGGCUUUUGUGGUCCCUAACCAUGGGCUUUUUAACACCUGGAGGAUGGUAACGCCAAAAGUUGGGAGCUGCUGAGCUCUUUGGGGUCCCGCUACUCUGUCAUUGACUGGUGGAGCAGGUAGUGUUUCUUACCACUUAUUUUUACUGCCAGGGAUGGUGCCACAUCCUACUAAAUCACUGCCUUUAAUUCAUGGAUAUUUCCAUGAAAGUGAAGUGAAGACGUUUAUAUGGGCAUUGAUGAUCCGUUGCUGUGCAAAAAGUCACUCCUAAACAGUUUCUAUGGUUUAGGAAUUUGGGAUCAGCUUGGCUGGGUGCUUCUGUCUCAGGAUCUGGCUCAUGCAAUUGCCGUUGGAUGUCAGCUGGGGAUGUUGCUCAUCUGCAGAUUCAUGUGGGGCUGAGGAUCCACUUUCAGUGUGAUUUGCUAUGUGGCUGGCACGUUGGUGCUGACUGCUGCAUGAAGGCCCUGGCUCCUCUCCUUGUGAACCUGUCCACAGAGCUAGUUGAAAGUCCUUAUGAUGUGGCAGCUGGACUCCACAGGGCGCGUCUCGAGAGACGUUUGUCAGGGCCCUGGAUCAUUUAGACUCACUUCAGGCACGGUGGGGUCCUCGGCCCUGAGGAGCUACACGUUCCUGUCCCUGCAUGGAGGCAGCAGGUGUGACCUACGCAGCUACCGUGCAGUGAAGGUACAGACGAAGAAAGGCAGCGGAGUUCCUUCAUUGUGACCACUUGGAAUCUGCAUUUGUGUUUAGUGACAAGGUUAGAACUGCGAGGUGCACUGUUUUAUUUGGUAAGUUUGGAUUUUAGUUCAUGCAUAUUUAUUUCAUGUCAUAAUUAUGACUGACAAUAAUUUUGUCUUAUGGAAGAGAGGAGUGUUGGCAAUUUUCUGUUCAGGUGUCAGAUAUGCCAGGUCUGUCUACUACAUCACACUAUAACUGGGGCAGAAAUUCAGGCCCUUUUUGGGUUUUGUUUUUGCAUACAGUUGUCCUAUACCUGAAAAGCAGGUGAUAUAUUACACAUACUCUUAGGUUCUCUCUUGCCAAGAUGUAGGUGUCCCUUGUGUGUUGUUACACCCUCACAGCAUAUACAUUAUGGAAAGUGUACAUCCCGGUCAAGCCCACAGGAAAGGCAUUAACCCACUGACACUUCUGAAAUCUUCUGUCCCUGUGGUUCUAGAAAUACAAGAAUGACUGCUUGAGAAUCUCUAGCCUGGCAUCUCCAAGCCCCUGGGGGAUCCUCUGUGCUGGAGACCACAGUCCUUCACAGGACACUCCUUGAUGGCCAGCACCCACACCCACUUCCUGCUGGAGCAAGGCUGCUGAAGUCUCUAGCUGAGCCCUCCCCAGGGCCUGCCCUCAGCUAGGGUCUACCCCGUCUUUGAGCUGCCUCCAUCCAAUGGCUGGUUUAGGAGGUGGUGCACGAAGGUCUAGCCUGGUGCAUUAGGACAAGCCUGAAGUGCCCCCAGCUGAGCCUUUCCUUGGGCCUCCACAGUUCAAAUUAUCCUGCUGUCCAGUCUUGCCUCUUUACUCCCUGUGGGGAUUGACCCUGGGGGCACCCCUAGUCUACUGCCUAUGUACAAGUCAGGAGCUGUUCCUGGGAACUCUGUUAUGACACAUUCCUCCUUCCUAAACCCACACCUUAUAUGGAUUUGGCUUUCUGGCCAGUGCCUUCUUCCCCAAAUGCACCUGUAGGUCCCCGUCUGGGUCCCUGUAGCAGUCAUUGCUGUGCAUUAAAUCUGUCCUUCUGGGCUUGUGGGAGGCUUUUGUUCCUGGCCCCUGUGUAUAAAAAUCUGGGGACACAUAUGACACGUGUCAGUUCCAAGCGGACUGUUGGUUACAGCAGCAUCAUACUGAACAAUCUGACUGAUACAGCUCCUUGGGGUUAGAACCUCCUUCCCUGCAUUUUCUGGCCAUUUUUACCUCCAAGUUCUGGACAAAAUGCAGCCAUCUCUGUAGACCUCUGAAUCCAGCAGGGAUCCCAUGUUCAUCUUUGUUCCCUUCAAGUCCGUCUUCCCCAGGAGACUGACAAUGCCUUCAGGACAGGAAGUGCAUCUUAAUGACCCUCCAUCCCUCACAAGGCCUUGGUCUGAAUAUAGAGGUAAUGCUCACUGAGAGGACAGGGGGCUCAUCAGGACCUGAGCAAGGUGCCCAGGAUAUAUGAUGAACAGGCACAUGUGAUGUCAGUUUGUCAAUAGGAGAGCAAUUCCUGAUAUGGGUGCUAAACAUCACAUGUCACGUUCCUUUCAUCAGCCAUAGAGCAAAUCCCUGGACUCUCACUCAGCCGCUGAACACCCCACAUUCUUAGACAAAAGAAUGAUUUAAGUGAGUCUGCAGUAUUCUGUAACAUAUUGUUCUCGCACCAUAUGCUUAAUAAUGAUAUCGGGUGUUUACUCCCAGUUACUUCUGCAGGCUCGUGUAUUGAGCAAACAUCAGUAUCCUGGGGCCCAAAUACUGCUGAAAGCAACUGAAAAUAUGACAGUGAGUACCGUCAAUAUCAGCCCUAAUCAACUUCCAGUUGUAUCCAGAAUACCAAUACUAUCAUUUCAGCAGCUCUGCGUGGGUCUCAAAGGGCAGGUCUGCUAUCCCUGCCUUCUGCAGAGGCUCAGAGAGGCUGACCGCCUGCAGAGGAACCACAACUGGAAUGGGGCACCCGCUGGGGGAUCCUCACAGAGCAGCAUCCUCCUGCGGGGUAACAGCCCUCUCCUGCCGCUCUUCUGCCUCUGCUAUUACUGGUUGUCUGACACACUUGACUUUCCUCUGUAAUAUUUCGAGGAGGACCCUGAGGGUUUCCCUCUUCAUUCUGUUCCUGAAUUGUUUCCCCCCAAUUAUUUCAGAUUAUGUAUUUGCUUUUAAUUAUCUUUAUAUCGAUUGUUUAUCCUAAAACUCUGUUAUAUCCAUUUAUUUUAGCCUUGGUAUUUUGAUAACACCGUUUAAGCCUCAGCUGUCUGGCCAAUUAAAUGAGAUGAGUCACAUCAAACAAGCAAAUGCUGAUUUGUAGGUCUGCCUUCUCACCGACCUGCGGUGGGGCGAGAAGAGGAUUCCUGAUCCACAUAGGAGUGCAUAAGCAGUCUGCCACCCAGGCAGCUUCUGUGACUUCACGAUCAAAGACGUUUCUGAGACUGAUGAUGCUUCCUUGACCUCAACAUCCUCCUUCACAGUACCUACUUCAGGGGUGACUACUGCUGAGUACAGGAGCUGGGGUCUGGGGGAGAUCCCACAGGCAAAGAAGAGAGACAAGCGCAGUCCCAUGAGACUCAGAAUGCUUACCCCACAGCCAAUCCACACCAGUUCUGGUUUGGAAAUCGAUGCAUCUGUACCCUGAGUUGCAUUGGAUCCUGGAGGACCAGAGCUCUGCAUGAUUUCUGCUCUCCAGCCAGUGUACUGAACUUGUAAUACUAAAAAUGGCAUUCUCUAAACUCCCUUGCAGUUAGAUUCUGGGCCUGACUUUAUUUCAUUUUGCCUAGGUGCAUGUGUUUUCCACUUACAAGACAGAAGGUAGUGGGGCUGCGUUUCGCUGUGUCUGCUGUUUCCAUUGUGAAGCACAGGGGAGAGGUCCUGGUUUUCUGCAGCUGUUUUAGCAAGAGGUCCCGAUUUCUGGGCAGUGGCUCUGUGAGUGUCAAGAGCAGGGCUUGGAGCAGCCAUUUUGCUGGUGAGCAAGUAGCAGACCCCGCCACUUCUGGGGCCUCUUUUUGAUUCCUAGCUUCUAAGGCAAGGUAUUCCUGAAGCACUUGGUUGUGGCUGGUUUUCCAAUUUCUUAGUCCUAAUAAAGGUGGGUGAUCUGAGAGCCAGAGGAGGCCCAGCAUCCUUUCUCCCCACCCCAUUAUCCAACUUCCUGCUCAGGGCAGCUGUAGGACAUGGUGGGUGGAGUCACCUGGCACAUCCACUGAGCUGCCUAGAGUAGCUCUAUGCACAAUGGAAUGUGAGAUUCACUUGGGGCAGUGGCAAAACAUUAUAGAAAAUAUUAGCAGAAGUUUAGAUUAUAAUCUCAAACCUUUUGGAAGGCCAAAAGGUUUUAUUGGGGCAGGCCAAAGCUGUCGGGUACAUCACUAGGGAAGAGACAGGGUUGAUAAGAAGCUUUCCCAGUUUAAGCCUGCUUACCCCACAUCCCUUUGUCUCUACUCUGUUUAAUCAUGUAAACUUUGUGCUGGAUGGCCCUCUCAGGGGGAGAUCAAAAGGGAAUUACCUGUUAAUAGUGUUUACUCUGGGCCCAGAACCUAAAGCUUUUAUCAUUGAUAAAACCACUCUGUUAAUCGUGUUAAUUAUCCACAAGUGUGUUGACUUAGAACCUCUGUUAUGAAUAAAUGCGUGGAUGGACAGAGAGUCUUGGUCAAUUGGUUGCAUUUCACCCUCUGAAAGCAGCCAAAAGCCAUCCCUAGCCCACUUGUAUCACUGUAACGGUGUGAGAGUGCGUUUAUUCAUCUGUCGUUGAGUCACGAUCUGCAGGCCAGACUUCUGCAGGUGGCGGGCGACGUCUCAAUGGAACACAUCUUGAGUGAAUAAAUGAUGCAUUCAUCUGGAAGACUCUUCAAAAGAGGUGCAUAUCUCAUGAGUUGGUAAGUCUCUAUGCACAGCAAGUCACAAUAAAUUGGAAGCACUAGUCUUGGGAAUGUUCUUUAUUAUUAAUAAUAGGAAUACCUUCAUUGGCUUUUAAAAAACUUUUGGAAGGUGAAUAUUAGGUGGAAUCAGAUUUGCUGUCUUGUCCCUGAAAUUUGGCCUUUCUUUCUCCUUUCUCUCCCCCAUAUUAGAUUAUUUUCUAACUAGAGCACAAGGACAGUCCAUGGAUCUAAUUACUUGAACAUAUUUCCUUUCAUUAAAGGGAUUUGCUUUAAAUCCUAAACAAGUUUGACAUUCAGCCUCUGUACUUUAAAUAACAAGUGAUUUUCUGUGUUCUCCAAGGUUACUACAAUAAACAUGUUAUUUGUAGGUUUUAAGUGUAAAAGGUUAACGUAAUCUCUAUGCACCCCUUGCUUCCCAAGAAGGAAAUAUUUUUGCAUACACAAUUAUACACAAAUUUACAAAGCAUAGUCUUUGUUUUACUUUAUCUUUACACAAAAUAAAGUAAAACAAAGCUUACUAUUUAGAAAGCUUACUAUUCUGUACCUUUUAGUACAUCUUGAACAUCUUUGCUUAGCAGGACAGACAAUGAAAAGCCAUCAGAAAAGCAAGGGUAUAUUGAGCAUUUCUCAUGCGCUGUGUGUUAAACUAAGACCUUUAAGUGGAUUGACAUCUUUGAUCUACAUAGCAGAUAGGAAAUUGGCACUUUCAAUAUCAAGCCUGCUCUCUUGGAGAAGGUCAUGCAUGUAAACCCACCUGGCCCCUCUUCCUCACACUUUCUUCCCUACUUUCUGGAGAGAGACUGUUUUCAGGGCUUUCUUUUGGCUUUAAGAAUAUUGCCCACAAUGACUAAUAGUAAGCCCUCUCUUUUCCAAAACUUGUGUUUCCUAUGCUGUGAUCCUGUUUUACCACGCUGGUUAGCAGUUCCUGAAUGACGUAGUGAACCUGAGCAUCUUUGCCUUGUUCCUGCGAGGCCUGGACCAGCUGCCCCAGAUGAAACCCAGCCUCAGGGCGAGGCUGCCUAACAAGCUCCCAACUCCAAGGAAGCCACAGCUGGAGUUGUCAUUGAUGUUGCCGUUGGCCCAGGGGUGAGUUGGUACCACCUAACAUCCCCUCACGAGGAGACCCAGCCUCCUGCAUGAGAGUGGAGGAUUCCUGGGUGAUGGUAUCUCCCUGAACAUAGAUGGGACCUGGCAGUGAGGACCACAGUGCCUGACCCCUGUGAGCCAAUGCUUCCAGAACCUGAGACUUCAAGUCAUUGCCCACUGGGGGAUGGACUGAAGCACAUCUCAAAAUUCAACCAGAUUUCCAGCUGGAGGCUGGGGAAUCUAGAAACAUUAACUGCCUCCCCCAUUAAACAGAUGCAUUUAUUUUUGUAUUUAUUGAAUUAAUUUACAAAAUGCUGCUCUCUUGAGGGAAGCAUUCCCUGGAGCUUGCAAAUACCAACAGGUACCAUGUAGUUAAUAUGCAUUCAACAGAAGCAGUCAUGUCAGGGUUAUAUUAACACCAACGAAAGAAUACAAACAUCCAGACUUCUGAAUUCUCUAACCACGAAGAUCUCUGUGAUUUACUGUCUUUUAGGGCUCAAUCUAGAUAGGGAAAUUUCUGUCAGAAGUUUCUGUGCAGCACAUUCCUGUACUUCCUUGAAUGGUUUUACGUAUUUCUGAGGUUUCUGGCGUCAGUCCUUAGGGCCGACUGCUACCACCUUGAAUCCAAGAGGACUGUUUUGGAGGAGAGGAUGGGGGACCUAGUUGCAUCUCCCUGGUAGUGGGACAAGCUAGUCUAAUGUGUUUUUUCACAGUCUUCUAGAUGGGAGAAGCACCUGUGAAGCCCAGCAUCCAGGUGUUUCUGAAAUUGCUCCCUGUGAAUGAGGGCAUCUGCCCGCCUCCACUGUCCCAAUCCUGCCUAUUCCCUCUCUCCUCUUCUGAUGAGAUCUUUCAGCAAAUCAAGGCCGGGGCUUGACAAGCAACUUCCCAAUCAUCACCAACUCUCUGUAUUUUAAGGUCUCCAUCCACACUGCCUGCCCUGAAAGGAAAAGAAGCUGAGCAGUUACCCAAUGAAUCUAGAACAACCUUUUACUCUGCUCCUGUGCUAUCUAGGUAAAACUGAUCAAACAGCACAUUUUCGGAGGCUAGGUUUGCUUCCUUUCUUCCUUUUUUGUUACUGAAAAAGUUUGGUGUGGUUUCUGUUUUGACUUACUUUUAAAUUUUUUAAAUUUUUGACACAUAAUAACUGUACAUACUUAUGGGGUACAAUGUAAUUUUUUUUUUGAGACAGGGUCUCACUCUGUCACCUAGGCUGGAAUGGUGGCACGAUUACGCUUGCUGUAGCCACUAAUUCCCAGGCUCAGGUCAUCUUCCCACCUCAGCCUCCUGAGUAGCUGGGAUUA